CUCCUUUAAUCCUCUGGUUGAAUAUCGCUGAGCGUUGUAAUUGAGGUGUUGCGUUUUUGUCGGUGGUGACAUAUUUUCAUGAAAGGGCUUCAAGUCAGUGAAAUAUUGGCUCUUUCUGCAUAGUGUGUUAAUUUGUUAGUUUAUAACGUGCUUUUCUCCAUUUGCUGUGCUUUGCGAUGCACGGGUACAACUUCCUUCUGUCCACCGCCCUGACGAUACUGUUCUCCGGACCAGCUCAAGGAUACUUCCCCGAAGAGCGCUGGAGCCCCGAAUCUCCACUUCUUGCCCCGCGGGUCCUCAUUGCCCUCGUCUGCCGCAACUCUGAACAUUCUCUGCCUUAUUUCCUUGGAAAUAUCGAACGUCUGAAUUUUCCCAAGGACCGCGUGGCAAUUUGGGUUGCGACGGAUCACAAUGUGGACAACACUACAGCCAUCCUGCGUGACUGGCUCGUCAAGGUCCAAAAACUGUACCACUAUGUGGAGUGGAGGCCGCAGGAGGAGCCCACAGAGUACCAGGAUGCAGACAGCCCGAAGCAGUGGACCAACCUCCGCUAUGCACACGUGAUGAAGCUACGGCAGGCAGCACUGGAUUCCGCAAGAGACAUGUGGGCAGACUACUUCAUGGUAGCGGACUGUGAUAACCUAUUGACCAAUCCUAAUGUACUGUGGAAGCUCAUCAAGGAGAAGAAGACGAUCGUAGCUCCCAUGUUAGAGUCCCGUGCAGCUUACUCCAACUUCUGGUGUGGCAUGACCUCCCAGGGUUACUAUAAGCGCACCCCGGCAUACAUCCCUAUGAGAAAGCAGGUGCGUAAAGGAUGCUUUGCGGUUCCCAUGGUGCACUCCACCUUCCUGAUUGACUUGAGGAAGGAGGCGUCACGCCAGCUGGCCUUCCACCCCCCUCACCCAGACUACAGCUGGGCCUUCGAUGACAUCAUUGUCUUCGCCUUCUCGGCUCGCAUGGCAGAUGUGCAGAUGUUCCUAUGUAACAGAGAGACUUAUGGGUAUUUCCCCGUGCCACUGCGAGCCCACAACUCCCUGACAGACGAAGCAGACAGCUUCCUACAUUCCUUGUUGGAGGUCAAUGUGCGGAACCCUCAUGUGCUGCCCUCGGAGUACAUCCCGGCCCCCAUAAAGAUACAAGAUAAACUGGGCUUUGAUGAGGUGUUCAUGAUCAACCUAAAGAAACGGACCGACCGGCGGGAUCGCAUGCUGAGGACUCUGUACGAGCAAGAGAUUGCCUGCAAGGUCAUUCAAGCGGUAGACGGCAAAGCGAUGAACAUCAGUGAGAUCAAUGCCCUGGGGAUCCACAUGCUACCAGGCUACAGUGAUCCGUAUCACGGCAGGCCCCUCACUAAGGGAGAGCUGGGCUGCUUCCUCUCACACUACAACAUCUGGAAAGAGAUCGCAGAGCGGGGUCUAAAGAGUUCCCUGGUGAUCGAGGACGAUCUGCGUUUCGAGGUCUUCUUCAAGCGACGCCUGAUGAACCUGAUGAGUGAAGUGGAGAGCCAGGGUCUAGACUGGGACCUGAUGUCAGUGAUUCUCAACCUCUGGUCCGGGGACCGGAAUUGGUCCCUGGGAUGUCGCUGGCCGAUCCCUCAGACACAUGAUACAGUAUUUGUUAUAUCGGCAGGAAGCGGAUGCAGGUGGACCACCCUGAGAAGUCUGUGCCCAAUAUACACAACCUGGUGGAGGCCGACUACUCCUAUUGGACGCUGGGCUAUAUGAUGUCAUUACAAGGAGCCCAGAAGCUGCUGAGGGCAGAGCCGUUGAAGAGGAUAUUACCCGUAGAUGAGUUCCUCCCUGUCAUGUUCAAUAAGCACCCUGUCUCGGACUACAUGGAGCAGUUUGAGGUGCGAGACCUGAAGGCCUUCUCGGCCGAGCCUCUGCUAGUAUUCCCCACUCACUACACAGGAGACGCAGGCUACAUCAGCGACACAGAGACCUCCGUGGUGUGGGACAACGAGAAGGUGCGUACGGACUGGGACCGGGCCCGCUCGGGGAAGACCCAGGAGCAGGCGGAGAUCAGCAGCGAGGCCCAGAACUCUGAUGUACUCCAGUCACCUCUGGACAGCACAGCCACACGGGACGAACUAUGAGAGGGGAAUGGGUGGAGAGGAAGGGGAUGGGAUUGACGAUAGAGGAUUGAUGGAGAGAAAUGCUGAAGAUUAAGAACCACCAUGGUUUUUUUUUUGUCGUUUUUUUAACGUUUUAGCCCCCUUUCUUUGCAUCCUUGCAGCAACAGGAUGUAUAGUACAUGGGCUCCUGUUUAUGUUUAAUUUUUUUUAACCAAAGAGGACAAGUUGAAAACAGGGAUCGGUUGCGUUAUUUUUUCUUCCAUUUACUUUUUCAUUUCAGAAAUAUGUUGGACUCACCUUUAUUUUGCUGCAUUUACUAGACCUAAAUACAGGGUGGGAUCUGUAUGUCAACAGUGAUCUGGUUGGCCUGUCUAUUACAUUUCAGUGAAGUGAUUGGCCUGUGAACUGGGACUUUGUUUCUGAUUGGUCACUACCAUGCCUCAAGUGCCUUAUAGCCUAGUUCAUCAUGCCAAAUCUCACAACUGACCCGAGUAGACCUCGACUCCUAGAAUAAAUACAUCAUUUAUUAAUUGUUAAUUAAUUAACAUGUGUGCAUGUACUAUAACAGUGUACUGUAGAAGUCUUUCUGAAAGCACUGGAAAAGACAAGCAUCUUGCAUGAUUUUGGAUAUGGCUUUAAGAUGACCUUUUUCAUUUGUUCAUUUUCAAACUAUAGGUAGACCUAACAUAUUUUACAUCCAUUAGAGAUUUAUGCUUGAAAGUUAUGUGCUGCUUCGCAAACGAGUUCCAUAGUUUUACGAAAACCUCGCCAAGGAGCUCAAAGUCCUAUGCUAUGACAUAUGAGAUUAAUACCAAAACAGUUGUAAUUAAAAAAGCAACAGCUCCCAAAGUGAAUGACUUGGCUACCCGCCCUCCCUGUCAGACCCUAACCAUUGAGUUACAGUAGUGCUCUUUAUAGCAGUGGAGUACGUCUUUUUAGAAACCAACAGCUCCUAAAGUUAAUAACUAUGGGUAGAAUCCUAACUUCCACUUAAGUCAAAUCUUCCUAAUCUCUUAAUUCAAUCAAUCAAAUGUAUUUAUAAAGCCCUUUUUACAUCAGCAGAUGUCAGAAAGUGCUAUACAGAAACCCAGCCUAAAACCCCAAACAACAAGCAAUGCAGAUGUAGAAGCACGGUGGCUAGGAAAAACUCCCUAGAAAGGCAGGAACCUAGGAAGUAACCUAGAGCGGAAGCAGGCUAUGAGGGGUGGCCAGUCCUCUUCUGGCUGUGUCCCGGGUGGAGAUUAUAAGAGUACAUGGCCAUUUUAAGGCCAGAUUGUUCUUCAAGAUGUUCAAACAUUCAUAGAUAACCAGCAGGGUAAAAUAAUAAUCAUAGUGGUUGUAGAGGGUGCAACGGGUCAGUACCUCAGGAGUAAAUGUCAGUUGGCUUUUCAUAGCCGAUCAUUGAGAGGUCGAGACAGCAGGUGCGGGAGAGAGCGAGAGAGAGUCGAAAACAGUAGGUCAGGGACAAGGUAGCACGUCCGGUGAACAGGUCAGGGUUCCAUAGCCGCUGGCAGAACAGUUGAAACUGGAGCAGCAGCACGGCCAGGUGGACUGGGGACAGCCAGGAGUCAUCAGGCCAGGUAGUCUUGAGGCAUGAUCCUAGGCCUCAGGUCCUCCGUGAGGGGAGAGCAAGCGAGAGAGAGAGAGAGUAUUAGAGGGAGCAUACUUAAAUUCACACAGGAUACCAGAUAAUACAGGAGAAUUACACCAGAUAUAACAGACUGACCCUAGCCCCCCAGCACAUAGACUAUUGCACCAUCAAUGCAUCACUACAAGUGAAAAUUCUACUUAAGUAGGGUGUAAGAAUUCACCCCUAUCCGCCUCCCCUGUCAGUCCUUUGCCAUUGAGUUACAGUAGAGCUGUUCAUAGCAGUGGAGUACUCCUUUCCCCCACUUGCCACCUCUGGUCUGUUUCCAGACUAAUGCCUUGUUGCCUUCACACAGAGUUAUACAAGGUUCACAGGCGGGAGCGACCACAGAGACCGCAGUAGACGCCUCACACUUUUGUGGUUGAGGAGGAGCCAUGUGAGAUGUUGAGAUUCACUCAUAGUAGUCUAAGAGAUUACAUUGUCUGCCAUAACAGCGUUUUUGUACCUCAUACCAAAUAAUAAAAUAUUUGGUUAAAAAAGA